rnacentral:siRNA from 1 species
AAGAAAGGAUACAAAGAGAAGAUG